rnacentral:lncRNA from 1 species
UUAUGGGGUGGCGUUUACUCUUCUUCUCGGGCCCAGCCACAGCCUUUCCCUUAGCUGAUUUUUUGAUCCUCUACUGUUUUCCAGCCAGACUCGGAAAAAACGAAAACACAGCUUAGGAAGCCCCCACCAGCUACCGCCUGUGCCAGCCCACCUCUGGCUGUGGCGAGGCAGCUGAGGCACACCAUGGUGGCCAAGGCCAGCUCCUUUUUCUUCCUUUCCUCCCCCAUUUCACUGGAACCGGGAACCCUGUGAGCAGAGAAAGGGCCUGCAAGACUGCUAAAUGCGACUGGGUCCUUCCACUCCAAAAAUGGUGAGACAAGAUUUCAUCUUGUCCACAGAGGAGCAACCUACAG